rnacentral:rRNA from 1 species
CGAAGGGGCUAGCGUUGCUCGGAAUCACUGGGCGUAAAGGGCGCGUAGGCGGCGUUUUAAGUCGGGGGUGAAAGCCUGUGGCUCAACCACAGAAUGGCCUUGAUACUGGGACGCUUGAGUCUGGUAGAGGUUGGUGGAACUGCGAGUGUAGAGGUGAAAUUACGUAGAUAUUCGCAAGAACACCGGUGGCGAAGGCGGCCAACUGGACCAGUACUGACGCUGAGGCGCGAAAGCGUGGGGAGCAAACAGGAUU